GACGAGCGCUGGCGGCGUGCUUAACACAUGCAAGUCGAACGGUGAAGCGCCUUCCUUUUUGGUGGGUGUGGAUGAGUGGCGAACGGGUGAGUAACACGUGAGUAACCUGCCCCCUUCUUCUGGAUAACCGCAUGAAAGUGUGGCUAAUACGGGAUAUUCUGGGUCUGUCGCAUGAUGGGUCUGGGAAAGAUAUUGUUUCGGUGGGGGAUGGGCUCGCGGCCUAUCAGCUUGUUGGUGGGGUGAUGGCCUACCAAGGCGGUGACGGGUAGCCGGCCUGAGAGGGUGGACGGUCACACUGGGACUGAGACACGGCCCAGACUCCGACGGGAGGCAGCAGUGGGGAAUAUUGCACAAUGGGCGCAAGCAUGAUGCAGCGACGCCGCGGGAGGGAUGGAGGCCUGCGGGUUGUGAACCUCUUUCGCCAGUGAAGCAGGCCUGCCUCGUUUGUGGGUGGGUUGACGGUAGCUGGAUAAGAAGCGCCGGCUAACUACGUG
rnacentral:rRNA from 1 species